UUGGGCAAUGGGGGAAACCCUGAUCCAGCAAGAUAGUAUGAAUAUAUAGGAAAAUAGCAUAAAGUUCUAAAGAGAAAUGAAAUAAUGAUUAAUUUCUCUAUUAAAUCCUGACCAAUUUCGUGCCAGCAGUCGCGGUUAUACGAAAAGGAUGAGCGUAAUUCAUAAUGACUAGGUGUUAAGGGUCAGUAGGCGGUUAAUAAAUAUAAAUAAAUAAAUUAACUAGAGUGUAUAAAAGGAAAUGAGAAUUAUUGGUAUAGGGAUUGAAUCUCGUGACAUCAUUACGAAUACCAAAAAGGGCGAAGGCAAUUUUCUAUGAAUCACUGACGCUAAUAGACUAAAGUGUGGGUAGCGAAAAGGAUUAGAUACC
rnacentral:rRNA from 1 species